rnacentral:rRNA from 1 species
AGCAGCCGCGGUAAUUCCAGCUCCAAUAGUGUAUAUUAAAGUUGUUGCAGUUAAAAAGCUCGUAGUUGAAUUCCAGGCCUGGCUGGACGGUCCGCCCUUCGGGUGAGUACUGUCUGUGGUCGGGUCCUACCUUCUGGCGAAGCGUCAUGGCCUUAACCGACCGUGGCGGGGAACCAGGACUUUUACUGUGAAAAAAUUAGAGUGUUCAAAGCAGGCAAUCGCUUGGAUACAUCAGCAUGGAAUAAUGGAAUAGGACAAUGGUUCUAUUUGUUGGUUUCUAGGACCGUUGUAAUGAUUAAUAGGGAUAGUUGGGGGCAUUAGUAUUCAAUUGUCAGAGGUGAAAUUCUUGGAUUUAUUGAAGACUAACUACUGCGAAAGCAUUUGCCAAGGAUGUUUUCAUUAAUCAAGAACGAAAGUUAGGGGAUCGAAGACGAUCAGAUACCGUCGUAGUCUUAACCAUAAACUAUGCCGACUAGGAAUCGGGCGAUGUUGAAAAAAUGACGC